rnacentral:rRNA from 1 species
AACGAACGCUGGCGGCGUGGCUAAGACAUGCAAGUCGAACGGACUGCUCAAUUUAUUGGACAGUUAGUGGCGAAAGGGUUAGUAACGGAUGGGUAACGUACCCUGUGCUUUGGGAUAGCGUCAUCCCGACUUCGGUCGGGAUUUCCGAAAGGGGCGGUAAUACCAAAUAAUAUCAUUUGCCUAUAGGCGGAUGAUCAAAGAUUUAUCGGCAUAGGCGCGGCCUGUCUCCUAUCAGCUUGUUGGUGAGGUAACGGCUCACCAAGGCAGCGACGGGUAGCGGGACUGAGAGGUUGGCCCGCAACAUCGGGACUGAGACACUGCCCGGACCUCCACGGAGGGCUGCAGUAACGAAUAUUGUGCAAUGGGCGAAAGCCUGACACAGCGACGCCGCGUGUAGGAGGAAGUCCCUCGGGAUGUAAACUACUGUCAGGGGUAAGAAAGUGCGUUUCGGCGCAUUGAUCUAACCCAAAGGAAGUCACGGCUAACUUCGUGCCAGCAGCCGCGGUAAGACGAAGGUGGCAAGCGUUGUUCGGUAUCACUGGGCUUAAAGCGUGUGUAGGCGGAAAAGUAAGCGUUUCGUGAAAUCCCCCGGCUUAACCGGGGAACUGCGCAACGAACUGCUUUUCUUGAGGCAAGUAGGGGUGCAUGGAACUCUUGGUGGAGCGGUGGAAUGCGUAGAUAUCAAGAAGAACGCCAGUGGAGAAAUCGGUGCACUGGGCUUGUCCUGACGCUGAGACACGAAAGCGUGGGUAGCGAACGGGAUUAGAUACCCCGGUAGUCCACGCCGUAAACGAUGCCUACUAGGUUGUGAAAGUUCUGACACUGGCACAGCCGAAGCAAAAGUGUUAAGUAGGCCGCCUGGGGAGUACGGUCGCAAGGCUA